UGGAGGUGAUCGAUUGAGGAUGGAGGAUGCUUCGGAUCAAUCUAGUGAUGGAUCUUCCUUGAGCAGGACUUCAUCUUCUCCAAUUCUUGCGGCUGGGUUCUGUGGAAGCUGUCGGAUGAGGAGGCAUUUUUGUAGAUUUUGGACAGUGGGAGUAGGGGCUGUGAGCUCUUGAGUUGUGGCACUAUCUCGAGGUGAGUUUCCUUUGAUGGUGUAUCUCUAGAUCCUUCUAUUAGUGCUCUGUUCUAUCAGUGUUGUUAUUGGAUAUUAGAUCAUGUUUAGUUUAGAGCACAUGGAAGCAUGUAGAGGGAUUCGUUGUAGUUGGAUGCUCUUGUGUUGGAUUAAUUAAUGGCUGGUAGGUUAUGUUUGGAAAGAUUGAAGGAGUUAUAAGGAGAUUUGAUUAGUGAGAAUUAAGGAAAUCAAUUG